GGAUGAGUGGCAGAGCGGUUGAUUGCACCAGUCUUGAAAACUGGCGUGGAUGCAAGUCCAUCGUGAGUUCGAAUCUCACCUCAUCCGCCA
rnacentral:tRNA from 2 species